AACAAACCAGCUCUCUAUUAUUACACGAAUAUGAAUACAAUGUCUUCGAUAUUACAAUAAAUAGCAUCGGUACGACGACACUACGCCAUUCUCAGUUGCUCUAUGCAAGCAGCAGAACAACUCGAAGCAGCGGAAUAACUCUAGCAGCAGAACAGCGACGACGGUGGUGAACUCCACUCCGCAGGGACUCUGGCUGGAACGCUUAUCCUAGCUCGCACGAAUGGAAACCACGACAAGCAAGCAAUCAAAUCCGGCAUGACCUGCAAACUGGCAUGACACGCCAGGUCAGUACAUUGAAUGUACUUGCAAGCUCACAAAAACCAGAAGCAUUCAAGAUAAACAACAGCAUGGCAAUUACAGAUUAAACAGGAAUUAUCAUGAGAUCAUCAGAAUAACAUGGCAUGACCAACAUAAACAUGAUACCGCUACCACAACAUGAACAUAUUAAUCCAACAAUUCUAGCAUGCAACAUGAUGACACUACAUGCACCACUUAUCCUGCUCGGGUUACCUCGUAACCAACACAUGCAUCACUUACCAACCUCGGACAUCACACGAUCAUCUCAGGAUCAAAUCAAGCAUGGUAUGAACAAUACCGUAGUAAUCAUUAAAUGACCACAAGGAGCUUGACUUUUACCCAUGAUUCUCGUACAACAUCACGAAUAUACAACAACUCGAUAUCCUCGAUACCACCAUGAUCCUUACGGCGAUCACAACCCGGCCAACACUUGGCCCCAAACUAUGAUCCUUACGGCUAUCACAAUCCGACCAAUACAUGGCCCCAAAUAGUGAUCCUUACAGCGAUCACAAUCAACUUAUCUCCUUAUUCUUAUUACUGUUGACUCAUGGUGUGACCUACUUUCGAGCUGGGCCCUUAUCCACGGGUGCGGCUAUUGAUAGAUUUAAUAUAAACUUUGCAGAGGUUAGUACACUUUACCCACACUACGGAACCCAUGGCCUUGCACUCCCAUUCGAGUGGACCAAAGGCGUUCUGACAAAACCGAUCUACUGUCAUGACACUCUCCGGGCCACUCCGACUCACUCCCCACUGGGCUAAGUCAUGGGUGGCCCUGUGUCUACCUCCAGACACAUCGACCACCGUCGUGGCCCGUCCCACACGGGGACACGGAUCCAAAAACUCAACCAACGGGCACACAAGGUUAUGUCUGCUCGCCGGGCCGGGGUACAGCACGCCCAUAACCUUCGCUCGUUGGAGGCACCAGCGGGAGGCACGACAAUAGACCCAGUUAGGACCGUCCCAUACCGGUAAGCGUGGUUGCACUGGUCAGCAUCGAUUCAGCGGCACCAUGACUCAGCCAACAGUUGUUCAAGUUCAAUUUAAUCCGGUUAACUUGAAUGCACAUAUGCUGAGCCAUGAUAAAAUGCAUGAACAUGAUAUCAACAUAAUCAUGAGAGUAUCACAUAACCAUCCACCAUAUCAACAAUAAAUCAUAUCCACUGAGCAUGGCAUACUGACUAGUAUGAACAUCACCAACAUCAACAUGUACUACUAGCAAGCUUAAACAUAUGAAAGGAGAUACUAGCAGGUAUAACAUGAUCACAGAGUACAAAUCAACAUAGCACAAAAGUGAACAUGCAAAUCUAAACAUCACCGGAACAACUAUAACCAUAUUUUCAACAAGAAAACAUUUAUUAAAGAUUCAAGUUGAAAACCAAGGCUACUGCAUGACUAUCAUGCAAGUGGGUAUUGUGGCUUGCCUAGGGAUGAAGAAGGCGCCGGGGAUAAGUGCGGUGAAGCCGCAGAAAGAUUUGCCGGAAACAGUUCUCUCUCGGAGGGGCUGAACAAGGGCAAGGGCAUAAUGGUCACUUUCACAAUGUCAAACCAUAGAGAAAUCAUCACCAACAAAACGGGCUUGACGAAACAAAGAAGUACGCUUUGGAAUCGCCUCAUUUGGAGCUACGGUUAAAAAGAUAUAAGGGUUUUACUGCCAGGGACCCAUCUGUAAUGAAAAAAAAUUCAACUAGGGGCGUGAACAGAAAAUGUGAAAGUGUAAUCUAGGAAAAUGCGUUUUCACCUUAUCCAUAGGAAC
rnacentral:lncRNA from 1 species